UGAAUUAUUAAAAUCUUAAAU
rnacentral:piRNA from 1 species